rnacentral:lncRNA from 1 species
UUAAAAGUGCUUUUUUUAUUGACAACCAAACACCCAAUGACUUUUUGUUCAAAAGCUCUAUUGGUAUAAGAUAUAUUAGUAUAAGCUCUACUGCUAUAAGUUCUACUGUUAUAAGCUCUAUUUAAUAAACUGUACCAAACGGAACCUAAGAAAGUGUGUUAGAUAACUUUUUUUUGGGUUUUGGUCAGUCAAAGUCUUCAGCUCGGACAGAGUCAGACCCAUUCUCUCUUGGGACAAGUCAGCGCGUGGACGGAAAUGAAAGUCUAAUGGGCUAGGCCCAUAGACCAUAGUCGUCCCUCUCAUAUCGGGCUCAUGUCGGUCCAUAUUUGUUCGAUUUAUAAAAGAGUUUCUAAAGGUAUUUCACAGGGGUUGGGAAUUUUAUCAUAUUAUUUUCUAAUUCUCACGAAACUAAAGGGGGCAAAGUAAUCUUAAAUCAUAUCAAGGUCGAGCCAUACAUAUAGAGGGAGUAAAAUACUUUCAAAUUUUGAGGUAGCAUUAUCAUUUCUUAAACUUGAUUUUCCGGUUGAACUUAUGAUAACCUACAUCAAAAUAAUUCAUAGUAAAUUUAUAUUUAUAUUAUUAAUAGAAUUGUGAUGUAAUUUAAGAAAAAAAUAAAGUGACCUCGAAUGCCAUAAUUAAUAUUCAUGCGUAAUUUCUGUCAAAUUUAGAGUUUUUGACAUAUAUUAUGCUCAAAAGAAAAAAAAAAUUAUUUGAUUAAACAUUGCCUUGACUAGUUUAUAAUUAAUAAACCCUCGACAGACUACAAUAAUGAAAACUUUUUAUUCUUGAGCAAAGCAGGGGUAGUGCAUUUUUUUCCCUCCAAAAUUUAAAUGGUUUGAUUUUUUUUUAAAUUCUGAAUAGGUAUGAAUACAAAUAUUUAAAUCAUAUAUUUAUUGUUUUAAUAUUUG